CCUACGGGAGGCAGCAGUGGGGAAUAUUGCACAAUGGAGGCAACUCUGACGCAGCAACGCCGCGUGAAUGAUGAAGGACUUCGGAUUGUAAAGUUCUAUGAGGGGGGAUGAAAACAAUGACAGUACCCCAAUAGCAAGCCACGGCGAACGACGUGCCAGCAGCCGCGGUAAUACGUAGGGGGCAAGCGUUAUCCGGAAUGACUGGGCGUAAAGGGUGCGUAGGUGGUUAAGUAAGUUUGCGGUGGAAUUCCGGGGCUCAACCUCUGAGCUACCGCCGAAACUAUUAGACUAGAGUACAGGAGGGGCAAGUGGAAUUCCUAGUGUAGCGGUGGAAUGCGUAGAUAUUAGGAGGAACAUCAGGGGCGAAGGCGACUUACUGGACUGUAACUGACACUGAGGCACGAAAGCGUGGGGAGCAAACAGGAUUAGAUACCCCUGUAGUC
rnacentral:rRNA from 1 species